rnacentral:rRNA from 1 species
AAACAUCGCCUUAUGACACCCAAUAUAAGGUACAUCCUGCCCAGUGACACAAUUUAACGGCCGCGGUACCCUGACCGUGCUAAGGUAGCAUAAUCAUUUGCCUUUUAAUUAAAGGCUAGUAUGAACGGACAAACGAAAAUUUAACUGUCUCUAAUACAUCAAUAAAAAUUAAUCUUUUAAUGAAAAAGUUAAAAUAUUUAUAAAGGACAAAAAGACCCUGUAGAACUUUAUUUAAUUACAAUUUAUUAAAUACAUAUAUAUACAACCAUUUAAUUUUAACAUAAUUUAGUUGGGGCGACUAUGGAAUAUAAAAAUCUUCCUUAACACAAACGGUUAAUAAACCUUUUCAAUGACCCUUCCUACAGAUCAUAAGAAUAGUUACCUCAGGGAUAACAGACUAAUUUUCCUUAAGAGACCACAUUGACAGGAAAGUUUGGCACCUCGAUGUUGGCUUAGGUACCCCUUGAAGUGCAGCCUCUUCAAAUGGUAGGCUUGUUCAUCCUUUAAAUACCUACGUGAUCU